GGGCGAGCGACGUCACAAUGGCAGUGUGGCUAGCCAGUCAGAGGCGGAGCUGCUCUCGAUCACCACCCUUGCGUCUGCAUCACUUUCGAUGCCAUGGCAACGGCGUAAACAGGCGGAGAAAAAAAUACUGCCCUGAGAACCGGAGAGCAGAGACCGGGAGAGACAGAGACAUAGAGACAGGGAGAUCCAGAGAUGGAGACGCAUACACGGCCGGAGACCCAGACACAGGGCCAAAGACAGACAGAAAUGGGUAACUCAGAGCUGGAAGACGGAGAGAGACCUGAGAUGAGAAGACUCUGAGAUGCAGACAGAGACGGCGGGCAGCGGGGAGGCGACAGAGGUGGAGAGACCCGAACCCGAGAAACAGAGGUGUGGACACCCAGAGACACCGAUCGCUGGAAGAGGAGAUGGGUUCUCGAAUCCAGGGAGCGGACAGCGUGCGAAGGCUGGCCGCGCCGGGGCUUCAGGAGGCAACGGGGCUAGGAACUGAUUGCUGCGCUCACCUGUGACCGCCCAGCUCCAGCCCAGCUCCAGACAAUCGACUUGCCUCCUGCUACGCCCACCGAGAUAGCAGACCAUUACCUGCUGUGUCCAUCAAGCACUGUGCCGACAGGGCAAUCUUGUGACUAUUGUGGGAGGGACAUUUCAGUCACAUGUGAAACACCCCGUUUGGGGGUAUAUAACCACUAUGUGCACCCCACUUCUUCGGUGCCCUUUCUUCCUUCGGGAAGAAAGGCCCCGGGCCAUGGUUCCUCAUAAAGCUUUGUUUAAUUUUCUCUUGCUGUUCUGUCUCAUGUGAAUUUAAUUCGUUCUCCGGCCAGACGAACCACCAUUUGGGAAGAGGAAAUGUCUUCCUCCCCUACACCUAUUACAAAUAAAGCCCCUGUAAACAUUCACAGACAGGUUUUU
rnacentral:lncRNA from 1 species